rnacentral:rRNA from 1 species
CAGGCCUAACACAUGCAAGUCGAGCGCAGGAAGCUCACGGAACUCUUCGGAGGGAAGUGAAGGGAAUGAGCGGCGGACGGGUGAGUAACACGUAAGGAACCUGCCCCAAGGAUUGGGAUAACUCCGAGAAAUCGGAGCUAAUACCGAAUAGUUCUUCAGACCGCAUGGUCUGAUGAUGAAAGGCGCUCCGGCGUCACCUUGGGAUGGCCUUGCGGUGCAUUAGCUAGUUGGUGGGGUAAUGGCCCACCAAGGCGACGAUGCAUAACCGACCUGAGAGGGUGAUCGGCCACACUGGGACUGAGACACGGCCCAGACUCCUACGGGAGGCAGCAGUAGGGAAUCUUCCACAAUGGACGAAAGUCUGAUGGAGCAACGCCGCGUGAGUGAUGAAGGUUUUCGGAUCGUAAAACUCUGUUGUAAGGGAAGAACAGGUAUGAGAGGUAAUGCUCAUGCUAUGACGGUACCUUGCGAGAAAGCCACGGCUAACUACGUGCCAGCAGCCGCGGUAAUACGUAGGUGGCAAGCGUUGUCCGGAAUUAUUGGGCGUAAAGCGCGCGCAGGCGGCCUUUUAAGUCUGAUGUGAAAGCCCCCGGCUCAACCGGGGAGGGUCAUUGGAAACUGGAAGGCUUGAGUACAGAAGAGAAGAGUGGAAUUCCAUGUGUAGCGGUGAAAUGCGUAGAGAUGUGGAGGAACACCAGUGGCGAAGGCGACUCUUUGGUCUGUAACUGACGCUGAGGCGCGAAACCGGGGGAGCGAACAGGAUUAGAUACCCUGGUAGUCCACGCCGUAAACGAUGAGUGCUAGGUGUUGGGGGGUUUCCGCCCCUCAGUGCUGAAGCUAACGCAUUAAGCACUCCGCCUGGGGGRUKASGGCCGCAAGUGR